AUAUCAGUCAUGCAUAGCAUAUCAAUAAGCGGAGGAAAAGAAACUAACAAGGAUUCCCUUAGUAACGGCGAGUGAAGCGGGAAGAGCUCAAAUUUGAAAUCUUCAAGGUUCUACCUUGACGAAUUGUAGUUUAUAGGAGUGUUUUCUGUUAGGUAGAGUGGCAAAAGUUCUUUGGAAUAGGACAUCAUAGAGGGUGAGAAUCCCGUAUUUGGUCAUUCCUCCUAGCUUUGUGAUACACUUUCAACGAGUCGGAUUGUUUGGGAAUGCAGUCCAAAAUGGGUGGUAAAUUUCAUCUAAAGCUAAAUAUUGGCGAGAGACCGAUAGCGAACAAGUACCGUGAGGGAAAGAUGAAAAGAACUUUGAAAAGAGAGUUAAACAGUACGUGAAAUUGUCAAAAGGGAAGCGUUUGACACCAGUGUUGUUUUCUCGAAAAUCAAUUACAAAUGGGGAUUUUGUGUUUAGUUAUGACUUCAUCAGCUUUCUGCACUUUCUUUACGUACUUUCUUAAUGCACUUUUCGUUUAACAAGUCAACAUCAAUUUCUUUUGUUGUAAAAGGGUAUGAGGAAGGUGGCUUUCUUUUCGGAGAAAGUGUUUAUAGCCUUGGACCUCUGCAAUCGGAGAGAUUGAGGUACAUGCAGCGUAGACUCCUUCGGGGUUAGAUACACUUGUGCUAAGUUAUAGCUUGUCAUAGACAACUUGUUGACUAUGUUAAGUCAUUGUAGCUUACUCGCUUAGUGCUAUUUUACCUACGCUUAGGAUGUUGAUCUCUCACAGUCGAGC
rnacentral:rRNA from 1 species